AACUAUUUGAAAAUUAGUAAAAAACUAGUUUCGACCUAGAUUAAGUAGAAAUCCUACACUAAUUA
rnacentral:tRNA from 1 species